AUGCCCUCAAUCAGCAUCCAAUAUGUGGGAUUGUUUCUCCCAUAGCCAAUAUUCACGAGUUCAGGAAUUAAGGGGUGGAAGUGGAAAUGGCAUCACUCACCCUCACCCCUAGUGACCCACUAGCAAAAUUUUUGCUUCCUGUUCCUGUGACAUUACAUUCUGCUGGCCUAGAGGUCUUAGUUCCAGAGGGAGGAACGCUGCCACCAGGAGACAUAGCAGCAAUCCCAUUAAACUGGAAGUUAAGGUUGCCACCUGGACACUUUGGGCUCCUCCUCCCCUUAAGUCAACAGGCUAAGAAGGGAGUUACAGUGUUGGCUGGGGUGAGUGACAUGGAUCAUCAAGAUGAAAUCAGUCUACCGCUCCACAGUGGAGGUACGUUGGAGAAAAACUAUCCAGCCCAUGAAGCCCGUAUUUCACAGAUAUUGUUGUCUAAGACAAAACCUGAUGAAGACGCUAAACUUGAUAAGGGGCACAAGUGCUGAGCCCGGCACACGGCAGUGGGGUCCUGCGGCAGCCGGAGAGGAACUUGUGGCUCUUACCUGCCCCAGUGAGCGCCCAGGUUCUGCCCGAUGGACACCAGCAGACUGGUGGGCCCGUGCUCCCAGAUGCACUGACUGGCCCACGCUGCAGCAGACUUCUCCAGUUCGUCAUCCCAGGUCUGCAGGAGAAGGAGAAACGGGCACCAGGAGCGGGCCCUUAUCUCCAUUUCACAGGCAAGCAAACCAAGGCUUGAAGAAGCAAUGCCAUUUUCCCUGGGUCCCACAGCCAGUCACAGAACCAGGAUCUGAACCCAGGUCUUCAGGACCUUGGACCCUGAGCUGUCUCCAUGUACGCAGUUAUGUGUGGACCACAGCAGGUGGCAUCCGCGAAGAUGAGUCGAGAGCUGGCUGCGGAACCUCCAUAGCACUCUGCAGGUGAAAAUCCCAGGAGUCCUUGGGAUCUGCAAGUGAAAAAGACCGAAUCUGCCCUCGGGACUGGGAGGAGACAGAGAGUAAACAAACGGGCAGCGGACAGAUCCUUUGUAUGGCAACCCUGUAGGCUCCUCACCGGCCCAAGUUGGCUUUGGGGAGACCCAGCCCAGCCCAGACGCUCCAAGGACCCCAUUGGCAGAGCUGCAACCAGAGACCACUGCUCUGCAAGCCACGAUUGCUGUCCGGGCAGUCUCACCCACGGGGCAGACUGAAUCCUUAGCUUGCUGGUUUGUGUCAUCAUCCGGCAUCAGGCUCAGUUCAAAUCCCAGCUCCUCCACUUCCAAGUUGUUGGCCUUGAGCAAGUCACUUAAUGUCGCUGCGUUCCAUGCCCCAUCUGUGAAAUGAAUGUGGUAAUAAUGG
ensembl:lncRNA novel transcript, antisense to CRISPLD2